UGCUUAGUCUGGCUUUUAUGGAAGCUUUAACGAUUUACGGACUGGUCGUGGCAUUAGCGCUUUUAUUUGCGA
rnacentral:tRNA from 1 species